rnacentral:rRNA from 1 species
AUUGAACGCUGGCGGCAGGCCUAACACAUGCAAGUCGAACGAGUGGCGGACGGGUGAGUUAUGUCUGGGACACUGCCUGGUGGAGAGGGUUAACUACCGGAAACGGUAACUAAUACCGCAUACAUGAGCAUAUGCCCAGGUGGGAUUAGCUAGUAGGUGGGGUAAAGGCUCACCUAGGCGACGAUCCCUAGCUGGUCUGAGAGGAUGACCAGCCACACUGGAACUGAGACACGGUCCAGACUCCUACGGGAGGCAGCAGUGGGGAAUAUUGGACAAUGGGCGAAAGCCUGAUGCAGCCAUGCCGCGUGUAUGAAGAAGGCCUUCGGGUUGUAAAGUACUUUAAGCGGGGAGGCGUUACCCGCAGAAGAAGCACCGGCUAACUCCGUGCCAGCCGCCGCGGUAAUAC